GGCACGAUGGCGGAGUGGUUAUCGCGUGGCACUAGAAUCAAUGCGCAUUCUAGAGCAAAUUAUCCUGCUCAACAAAUACAUGCCAUUCCCUCUGGGAGCACAGGUUCAAAUCCUGUUCGUGUCG
rnacentral:tRNA from 1 species